rnacentral:misc_RNA from 1 species
UCCGGCUUACCGCCGGCAGUCCCUCUAGAGUGCCCAACUAAAUGAUGGCAACUAAAGGCAAGGGUUGCGCUCGUUGCGGGACUUAACCCAACAUCUCACGACAUGAGCUGACGACAGCCAUGCAGCACCUGUGCGAGGAGCCCUCGCGGGAACGUACAUCUCUGUACGCGUCUCCUCCAUGUCAAGUCCUGGUAAGGUUCUGCGCGUUGCGUCGAAUUAAACCACAUGCUCCACCGCUUGUGCGGGCCCCCGUCAAUUCCUUUGAGUUUCAACCUUGCGGCCGUACUCCCCAGGCGGUGUGCUUAUCGCGUUAGCUACGACACUGAACAGUCAGACUGCCCAACAUCCAGCACACAUCGUUUACGGCGUGGACUAC